GCGAAGGCGAUCUUCUGGAACAGUACUGACGCUGAGGCGCGAAAGCGUGGGGAGCAAACAGGAUUAGAUACCCUGGUAGUCCACGCCCUAAACGAUGAAUGUUAGUCGUCGGAUUGCAAGUCAAUUCGGUGAUGCAGUUAACACAUUAAACAUUCCGCCUGGGGAGUACGGUCGCAAGAUUAAAACUCAAAGGAAUAGACGGGGACCCGCACAAGUGGUGGAGCAUGUGGUUUAAUUCGAAGAUACGCGAAGAACCUUACCUAGCCUUGACAUUGAUAGAAUCUUUCAGAGAUGAGAGAGUGCCCUUCGGGGAGCUUGAAAACAGGUGCUGCACGGCUGUCGUCAGCUCGUGUCGUGAGAUGUUGGGUUAAGUCCCGCAACGAGCGCAACCCUCGUCACUAGUUACUAACGGUUCGGCCGAGGACUCUAGUGAGACUGCCUUCGUAAGGAGGAGGAAGGUGAGGACGACGUCAAGUCAUCAUGGCCCUUACGGCUAGGGCCACACACGUGCUACAAUGGUUAGGACAAUGAGAAGCGAUACCGCGAGGUGGAGCAAAUCUAUAAACCUAAUCUCAGUUCGGAUUGUUCUCUGCAACUCGAGAGCAUGAAGCUGGAAUCACUAGUAAUCGUAAAUCAGCAAUGUUACGGUGAAUACGUUCCCGGGUCUUGUACUCACCGCCCGUCACACCAUGGGAGUUGAUUUCACCCGAAGCGGGGAAGCUAAACUGACUACCCUCCACGGUGGAAUUAGCGGCUGGGGUGAAGUCGUAACAAGGUA
rnacentral:rRNA from 1 species